UCCUAACACAGAUUUAUUCCUCUUCUAAAAACUAAAUGGAUUUCUCCUCCAGGUAGUCUCCUUCCUUAGAUACUCCUGAAAGCCCAUGCAGCUGAGGCGGUUUUAAGAAGGUCUCCACCGACAGUGUCUGCAGAAACCACACAAACCCCCCUCCUCACUUUGAUGCAUCAUUGGAUGCAGGAGAAGAGAUUCAUGGAAAGAAGACUCAUGGAGAUGGCCUUGCAGAGGAGAAUGGUCCUGUCUGAAGGGGAGGCAAGAAGGGAGGCAGGCUGGAGAGCAACAUCUCAGCAAAGGCCCAGAGUGCCACAGUUGUCCCCAUGGCCUGGCCCCAUACUUCCUUCUCAUUAUAACACCGACACUUUUCAGUGGGGAAAGCACCUCUCCUCUAUUCAGCUUAUGCAGUCUGACUUAAGUGUCCUCCACACCUACUAUCAAGCCUGGUCUCAUGAUACUGACCGGAAUAGUUGAGAACUACAUUCCUGGAGAAUAAAAACCACCCCCUGCAUUUGGUUCGGGAGGCACAGGGCGUGGUCCAGGUUCAUGUCUUGAAGCUCACUCCUGCACUGAGUGAAGAGAGAAGCACUCAGUGAAGCGAUGAAAGAGCUAGAGGUGAGAAUGUCACCACAGGUGACAGGAGCAAAGGGGAAAGCUAUGGAGCUGCAAAGACGGGUAAGGCAUUCACCAAGUUACUUCAGGUUUCCUAGUGGAUGAGCAUGCUGGUAUGAGCUGUAAUUCCUGCAGAAAUGGAUUACAGAGAAGUGGAGGCAGGAGGAUCCAGAGUUCAAGGCCAGCCUCAGAUACACAGUGAGAGCCUGCCUUAAAAGAGAAGGAAGCAGUUAAGUUCUUCUCACUCACAGAAGACAAACCUACUGAGUUCAAAUCAAUAGCAGAGCAUGUUAGGAUGGGCUGGGACCACCUCUCACAGAGAGUUUGGUAGUGUCUAAGUAAAAAGUGUCUAUCAUCAGAGGGAAGUUUUGCAUAGACUGUUUUGUACCCUGGAAAUUCAUAUGCUGGAACCAUAACUUAAUAUGUGAUAGUAUUUGGAGAGGGGUCCUUUGGAAGUCAUGAGGGUAGAGCUCUAUGAUGAGAUUAAGUGUCCUUAAGAGAACACUCAUAUCAUUCUAACAUCUCUCUGGCACAGCAGAACGCAGGAGGCUCCUCAGAGCCUGGCCAUGUCAACACCAUGAUUAGAUGACCAGAGCUGUGAGAAACACCUGGUUAAGCUGACAAGCCUGGGGUGCUUUGUUACGGUAGUAAACGCUGACUAUAUAUGGUAGCAUCUGCUGAGUAUGAGCAACACAGGUAGCAAUAGGAUCGGAUUUGCCUAUCCCUCCAAGUCCUGCUUAUAUCCCCAACACUGGUUAGCAGUGUUUUCCAUUUUUAAGUUAGAAACAAGUGGCAGGGAAGAGGGACAGGAGAGAAAAGGAUCAAAGGGAAUGAGAUCUUCCCAGUCACACUGAAAAGCCGCACAGGGCAGAGGACACGGAGCAUCUGCCUACGUGAAAGGCCCAGGGCUGGAUCCAGCACUGUAGAACCAGCAGGAGAAGAAAGAAGACAACACCGACAGGAAAAAGAGGAAAUCUAGAGUUCUGCUGACGGGACUGCACCGAUGGAUUCUGGCAAGUGGACCACAGUUCUGUAUGUUCACUUGGGGGAAGCUAUGAGGGGUAUUUAGGAACCACACAGGGUCUUCCCAUUAACUUUCUUCAGUGUCUGACUUACUGGGGGAGGGGAGUACACAGAGGCCACACUUGCACGUGUGCAAGUCAGAGGGUAGGUGGUAAGAGUUCCUUCUCUCUCUCCUCCAUGUGGUUUCCAGGGACUCGAACUCAGGUCCUCAGGCUUGGCAGCAAACUUCACCUGCUGAGCUGAGUCACUUUGCCACCCUACUCAGCGUUUUUGUAAAUCUAAAAUAAUCCUACCAUUUUCGUUUACAAAAACAAAGUGUGCAUUGUUUAGCUUCUUUCAGAGUUAAAUAAUUAAAAUCAUGAAGUAGGGACCAGAGAGAUGUCUUGGGUUAAGAGCUCUAUAACCACGAGGGGCAGAGUUUGGAUUCCGACACCAGAUAACAAGUUGGGUGUUCGCUGCAAAUGCCUGUAACCCAGCUUUAAGCACGGAAGACUGCGAGGAUCACUAGGGUUUGAUGGCUUUCACACCAGCUAAAAUGUGAGCCCUGCGUUCAGAAAGAGAGUCUGACUCAGAGGAACAGGCAGAGAGUGGAAGAAGGAAGACACCUGCACUUCCAGCCUCAGUAUGCACAUGUGUAUACAUGCAAUGUACAUACAUUCACACAGACAUGCACACAGAUAAGUAAAUAAGUACAGAUAAAAUCUUUAAUACAGUGAAGUAUCUUUUCUUAUAUGUCAAGGUGGCAAAAAAAUUUUUUUUUCAAGACAGGGUUUCUCUGUGUAGCCCUACCUGCCCUGGAACUCACUCUGUAGACCAGGCUGGCCUCAAACUCAGAGAGAUCUGCCUGCCUCUGCCUCCCGAGUGCUGGGAUUAAAGGUAUGCACCAUCA